UUCAGGUUAAGACUCGCAGGUGAAAUAGGUUUAUAAAUAUGCUUCUUUGGAUAAAUAAUGACUUUCCAUAAUUAUUCCCAUUGUAAAUCAGUGUCAGCAGCAGUAAAAUUAAAUUAUAAAUGGACAAUAGAAAAGAAUAUAAAGAUAGAAAAUAACUAAUAUAACUAACAACAGACAUGAGCAUUAAUAAACAAAGAAACAAUGGCGUCCAUCACCGUGUUUCUGUGUCUGACAGUCACCUACUUUAAGAAUUAUCCAACCAUGUCCUAAAUGAAUUCAGGGAUGUAACUUAGGACAGUGUCUUUAUAACCAAAUUAUACUGAAUAUAUAUUUGUUGAAUGAAAGAAGCCCCAGGAAACUAGUACCAAACCAUGUGCUAGGUCCUGGAGAGCAGAUAAUUGGCCUUACUACCUUCCAGCGGCUGGCCAGCCUUCUCAGAAGGUUACAGUGGGGUUGGGGGUGUAGGGUUUUGUGAGGAGGACAUGAUUCUGUUCCUUCAGGAUUUCUCUCUACUUGUUUUCACAUCGGUUGUAAGUGGCAACUAUAUUUCUAGCUCCUUGUUUGAGGAAAGGUUUUUUGUAAUGAAGAUGCUUACUUAUAGCCUUUUUUUUUUAAAUGCCCACAGAAGCAGCCUAAACAAGAUAUAGGGUUAGAGUAAGUAAUUUCCCUGGAAAGUAAGGACCAACCACGUUGAAAAACCAGUGAUAUCUUAUGAGGUGUCAAGGUCAGAAAACCACCUGACUUUAUCAAAUGAUUUUGGGUCUCAUGAUUUCUUUUUUGUAUUAUUCCAGAUUGUUCUGCCUAUGUUAGGCUUGUCCGUGCAACAGUCACUCAUCUUUAAGAUGAUGAGUAUCUCUGAAGUAAACGCGACCCAGGGUAGAUUUGGGAGUCAUCAGUUUAAGGUAGCAGUGGAAGCCCUGGCCGUGGAUGAAGUUCUGCAGAAAAGAAAAGCAGGUCAAGGCACACAGCAGAGAAGUUUGGGUCACGUCUCGUGGAAGAGAAUUUCAACUGAAAGAUCCAGCUGACCAUGGACUGAAUCCCUGGAACUAUGAGCCAAAUUAAACCUAUUCUCUUCUAAUCUGUGGCUACCAGUUAUUGUGUUCCAGCAAUGGGUAGGCUAAUACAAUACUUAUACCUUCAUAUAAUAUUAAAAAUUGAAUAUAUCUAUUAGUUAAAAUCAUGAAAAAACAAUAAAGCAAAAAAUGAUCAAACCAGUUAUUCUUCUAUGUUAGCUUUGUCUGACUGAUAUUACAUGUUAUUUAGCCAAUCUUUUUAGGUGGAGUUAUAUAAUAAAAUAUGGCUUCAAAACUAUAUUAUGACCAAUACUGAAACAUGGUUUGAACAGGCAAUUGAUGGUAUAGUUCUAUUCCAGGCUAAGUCACAAGCUUAAAUCUCCUUUACUUCAGGUAUCCAAAUAACAAAAAAAGAUGCAUUGUAGGAAAAGGAAAAGUAAUUAAGAUGAAAGGUUACAAGUGACACAAGCUCAAUAGCAAAGUCCAUAUAGGUGCAGCUAAACAGAAAGACCAAAGCUACUUAAGGGAAUUUUCCUCUAGCCAGAGAAGAGGCAGGGUAUUGCCCCUGUUCAAUUAAUUUUACCUAAACCCUGGUUAAGUCAAA
rnacentral:lncRNA from 1 species